GGCUGCUCGCUGACGUGGAAGCCUGGCUUGCUCUUGCUGUAGUCACAGCAAUGGAACAAAAUGAGAAGGCAUCCGCAUCAGGCUGUGAGCUUACUUUCAAACAGAGUCUGUGAGUGCCGUCAGAUUGCUCACUGAGGAUUUCAACGUAGCGGAAAAUACAUUCUCUAGAAGGUUCUUUUGCAUUUCCCUUGAAAAGUCCACAUCCACUUCUUUGAGUACCUGAAUAAUAUGUGUGCAUUCUAUGUCAUUUUUAUCUUUUCUUUGUUUAUCAAAUGUCUUCACUCAUUAAUCUAUACAUUAAUAUUGUCCCUUUACUGGUUAAAUUUUCAAUUUCUUUUUCUUUGAAAACACGUGUUUCCACUUGUGCUUUGGCGUUGAUAAGAGGCUGGCGUUGGAACUGAGUCUCUGUGGGUCUGUUUGAAUUUGCUUAAAAAUACUUUUAGGGAUUAAGUGCUUACUAUGAUUUUGAAACUAUAAUAUUUAAGGCACCAGAGUGGCAGCGUUAGACAGCACUAUGGCAAAUAUAAACCUUCCUGUUUCUUGCUUUUAUGCUUUAAUCAGAGGCAUUUUAGUCCUUCAAAGGCAACAGCUGAGCAGCUAUUUUCGGUGCCUUUGCAAGCAGGAAGUGACCCAUUUCAGUCCCAGAGGAAGUGGAGUCAGUGAGCUGCCUCAGCUAAUUUUGGCAAUCACGAUUUGCUAUGUCCUUCUCAUCCAGUCAUCCCUGGCAUCAGCAUCUUCCUGGAAUUUACAUAGAGGAAGGAGAAGAUAA
rnacentral:lncRNA from 1 species